rnacentral:rRNA from 1 species
AUUGAACGCUGGCGGAAUGCUUUACACAUGCAAGUCGGGCGGCAGCGCGGGGGCAACCCUGGCGGCGAGCGGCGAACGGGUGAGUAAUACAUCGGAACGUGUCCUUAAGUGGGGAUAGCUCGGCGAAAGCCGGAUUAAUACCGCAUAAGCUCUGAGGAGGAAAGCGGGGGACUGGUAACGGCCUCGCGCUGUUGGAGCGGCCGAUGUCGGAUUAGCUAGUUGGUGGGGUAAAAGGCCCACCAAGGCGACGAUCCGUAGCUGGUCUGAGAGGAUGAUCAGCCACACUGGAACUGAGACACGGUCCAGACUCCUACGGGAGGCAGCAGUGGGGAAUUUUGGAACAAGUGGGGCAACCCUGAUCCAGCCAUUCCGCGUGAGUGAAGAA